CCUGAUCAACCAUCAAAGAAGGAUCAGCGCAGUACUAGCAUACUGUGCUGAUUUUCUGAAGCAGGACUUCUGAUCGAGAUUCGUGGGCUCGUGUGGACGACUCCUAGAGGCCGGAUGCAUGUGCGGCUUACAACAUCAUCCUCAAGCUCAGAUCAACAAGGUUAGAACAUCUAACUUGCAAGGUAAUAGAUCUGAUCUAUUGUUUA
rnacentral:lncRNA from 1 species